CUCCGGGACACACUGGCCUCAGCCCAGUGUCUGAAACUGAAAGACCCCCAGAGUGGGGAGACCCUCACUCAAGUCUCGGGAUAAGCUGAUGCCCCAAUAAUUCAAGAGAGACA
rnacentral:pre_miRNA from 11 species